rnacentral:rRNA from 1 species
GAGGAAUAUUGCGCAAUGGGGGCAACCCUGACGCAGCGACGCCGCGUGAGUGAGGAAGGCCUUCGGGUCGUAAAGCUCUGUCAGAAGGGAAGAAGUGCAUGGUGGCUAAUAUCUGCCAUGUUUGACGGUACCUUCAAAGGAAGCACCGGCUAACUCCGUGCCAGCAGCCGCGGUAAUACGGAGGGUGCAAGCGUUGUUCGGAAUCACUGGGCGUAAAGGGCGCGCAGGCGGCUUUGUAAGUCAGAUGUGAAAGCCCACGGCUUAACCGUGGAAGUGCAUUUGAAACUGCAAGGCUUGAGUACCAGAGGGGAAGGUGGAAUUCCCGGUGUAGAGGUGAAAUUCGUAGAUAUCGGGAGGAAUACCGGUGGCGAAGGCGACUUUCUGGCUGAGUACUGACGCUGAGGCGCGAAAGCGUGGGGAGCAAAC